rnacentral:rRNA from 1 species
CAGCAGCAGCCGCGGUAAUACGUAGGUGGCAAGCGUUGUCCGGAAUUAUUGGGCGUAAAGGGCUCGCAGGCGGUUUCUUAAGUCUGAUGUGAAAGCCCCCGGCUCAACCGGGGAGGGUCAUUGGAAACUGGGAAACUUGAGUGCAGAAGAGGAGAGUGGAAUUCCACGUGUAGCGGUGAAAUGCGUAGAGAUGUGGAGGAACACCAGUGGCGAAGGCGACUCUCUGGUCUGUAACUGACGCUGAGGAGCGAAAGCGUGGGGAGCGAACAGGAUUAGAUACCCCCGUAGUCCCUGUCUCUUAUAC